rnacentral:rRNA from 1 species
GACGAACGCUGGCGGCGUGCUUAACACAUGCAAGUCGAACGGAAAGGCCCUGCUUUUGUGGGGUGCUCGAGUGGCGAACGGGUGAGUAACACGUGAGUAACCUGCCCUUGACUUUGGGAUAACUUCAGGAAACUGGGGCUAAUACCGGAUAGGAGCUCCUGCUGCAUGGUGGGGGUUGGAAAGUUUCGGCGGUUGGGGAUGGACUCGCGGCUUAUCAGCUUGUUGGUGGGGUAGUGGCUUACCAAGGCUUUGACGGGUAGCCGGCCUGAGAGGGUGACCGGCCACAUUGGGAAUGGGGUACGGCCCAGAAUCCUACGGGGGGCAGGAGGGGGGAAUAUUGCACAAUGGGCGGAAGCCUGAUGCAGAAACGCCGCGUGCGGGAUGACGGCCUUCGGGUUGUAAACCGCUUUCGCCUGUGACGAAGCGUGAGUGACGGUAAUGGGUAAAGAAGCACCGGCUAACUACGUG